GGUUAGGAUUCGGCGCUCUCACCG
rnacentral:piRNA from 4 species